rnacentral:lncRNA from 1 species
UCUAGCCAUAGGGCAGACUGAGCAAGGGAAAGGUUGUUUAGAAGCAAAAGGAAAAGAUAAACAAGAAAUACAUUUCAUAUGUGCAAAAGGAAUAUGACCAAGUCACAGGUGCCAAAUGUAAUUCAUAUCAGAAUUCAAAUCAUUAUUACAAUUGGGACUAGUUACAUGUAAGGAAGAUGAAACAGUUUUAUUAUCAGACAGCAUUGUAUCAUUACAAGUA